rnacentral:rRNA from 1 species
CCAAGAGCCGCAUGGCCCAUGGAAGAAAAGGUGGCCUCUACCUGUAAGCUAUCGCCUGAAGAGGGGUUUGCGUCUGAUUAGCUGGUUGGAGGGGUAACGGGCCCACCAAGGCGACGAUCAGUAGCCGGUCUGAGAGGAUGAACGGCCACACUGGAACUGAGACACGGUCCAGACUCCUACGGGAGGCAGCAUG